UAACAUGUUUUGAUUAGAUCCUCAUCUAGUAGUAUUACAUCCUCACUUGAAUGCUUAGACCAUGUAGUUUCAAGAAGCUCAACUACAUUAAACUUGGUGUCAACCCGUCAUUGAGAGUCAACAAGAGACUUAUCUGCAACUACAAUAAUCAAAUAAUGAUCUUCUU
rfam:Populus trichocarpa isolate Nisqually-1 chromosome 7, whole genome shotgun sequence.